GCGGCAGUAGCUCAGUUGGUAGAGCAUUAGCUUCCCAAGCUAAGGGCCGAGGGUUCGAAUCCCUUUUGCCGCUCCA
rnacentral:tRNA from 1 species